ensembl:snoRNA
CUGAAUCCACUGAUAGACCAUCGAACAGUUUACUGUUGUUCUUUGGUUUGCACUAGGAUGCAAGAAGAAAAAAAAUCCCUGUCUGUCUUUGUGGUGGCCCAGAUUGAAUAAGAGAUUACAUCU